GUUUAAAUUCCCAGGCUAGGAAUGUCACGACUCGGAAUUCUCAUCGAGCCCGUGACAACCACCGCGACAUCCCGAUAGGCACUCAUUACCCUGAAUGCCGAUCGAAACCCCGCAAGGCUUAGCAUCAGCUUCUGCAUCUCCCCGGUGAGCGACAGUUAUUAAAUCUCACAUUUCAAAAAAAUCAUAAGUCAUUUCCAAAUCAAAACAAUAAAAUAUUACUUUCUGACUCACAAGGGUAUUUUCGUCAUUUUUCUUCAAAAAUACCGAAACUCGCCAAAAACAUGGUGUAAAAGCUAAAUAUAUUCAUACAUACUUUAAAUCAAAUAACUAAAGAAUAAAAUUACUUUUACAGUGACACGUGAGCCCCCAACUGACUAAGAAGAUGUAGGGCUACGAACCCUUACUUUCUAAGAUGCAACUCCGAGAUUAAUUCUCGUCUUAAUCAACUAUCAACAAAUUGUCCGAAGCCUGAAAAAUGGAUAGGGAGAGGGGUGAGAUUAUGAUUACAUAAUCCCAGUGAGUAAACAAUUACCAUCAAAAGUAUCUAAAGCCGAGUAGAUAGAGACAAUAUAAAAAUGUUAUAUCUCAAUAAUGUUCAUAACACAAAUUUCGUUUCAAUGAGUACCAAACAAUUUCUUCUCAUCAAAAUUUCCUAGCUUAUGAAUUUCUUAAACUUGGCCCUUGCCAAUAUCAUUCUCGCGGGUACCUUCGUCAAGGUAUCCCACUGAGACCGUCAAGGCUGUUCAAUGACCCAUAUCCAUAAACAUGUUUUCACAUCUGACACACAACCGUUCUUUGGCGUUGGCUGAGUCUCACUCUCACGUGGUGGCCCGAACUUGAGGUGCACUCAAAUCAUACAUAAGGAGAUACUUCACCCAACAUCUCCCCCUGA
rnacentral:lncRNA from 1 species